UGCAAUAAAAGAAUUAAAAAGUGGGAAGACACCGGGACCCGACGGACUAAGUGCAAGAUAUUAAAAAGAAUUGAAGGACAUCCUACUUGUCCCAUUAAAAGAAGUUAUGAACAACAUUUUACUAAACAGAGAAAUACCAGAAACGUGGAAAGAAGCAUACAUCACUUUGAUACCCAAGCAAGACUCUGAUCUAAAUCAGGUUAAAAAUUUCAGGCUGAUCUCGCUUUUGAACAAUGUUUUUAAAUAUUUUGCAAACAUACUAGCAAACAGGUUAAAAAAAGUAUUGAAGGAAUUAAUACAUAAAGAUCAGGCGGGUUUCCUGCCAGGUAGACAAAUGAAAGACAAUAUUAGAAAUAUAAUUAAUAUUUUGGAGUACCUGAAUGCUAAGAAUGACAAACAAGCGAUGUUAAUAUUUGUGGAUGCAGAGAAGGCUUUUGAUAAUAUUUCUUGGGAAUUUAUGUUAAAGAAUUUUGAAAAGAUGGAGGUGGGACAUUCGUUUUUAAAUGGUAUUAAGGCUAUAUAUAUGGAUCAAAGAGCUAAAUUAAUAGUUAAUAAUGUGACAACGGAAAAUAUAAAGAUAACUAAGGGAACAAGACAAGGAUGUCCUUUAUCACCUCUGUUAUUUAUCACGGUCCUGGAAGUGUUUUUAAGGGCAAUUAGAAGUAAUGAUCAGAUAAAAGGGGUAACGGUGGGUAGAAAAGAAUUUAAGGUUAAAGCCUUUGCGGAUGACUUAGUAUUAACUUUGGAAGAUCCCAUGAACACGGUAACAGAAGUGUUGAAAGAAAUGGACCAGUUUGGUCAGUUGGCAGGAUUCAUUCUGAAUAAGAAAAAAACUAAAGCAAUUACUAAAAAUGUAGAUUCGGAGAAUGUAAACAGAUUACAGCAGCAAACUGAAAUAGAAGUGGUAAAGAAAGUUAAAUAUUUAGGAGUUUGGUUAACCCCCAGGAGUAUUGACUUGUUUCAGAAUAAUUAUAUUCCAACAUGGAAUAAGAUCAAAAGAGACUUAGAGGUGUGGGGAAGAAUGAAAUUGUCAUUUUGGGGAAGAAUUGCAAUGAUAAAAAUGAAUGUGCUACCGAAGAUGUUAUUCUUGUUUCAAACAGUUCCAGUAAUCAAAGGGGCAGCGAUUUUUAAAAAUUGGCAACGAGAAAUUUCAAGGUAUAUCUGCCAGGGUAAGAAGCCGGGGAUAAAAUUUAAGAUAUUGACGGACGCAAAAGAAAGAGGAGGCUUCGCCCUGCCAGACUUUAAAUUGUAUUACGAAGCAUCUUGCCUCUGUUGGUUGAAGGAAUGGAUGAAAUUAGAAGACACGGAUGUGUUAGAUCUUGAAGGUUUUGAUAAUAGAUUUGGGUGGCAGGCGUAUUUGUGGUAUGACAAGAGACGAGUACAUAAAGGUUUUGAAAAUCACAUUAUAAGAAGGUCUUUGAUUGAAGUGUGGGAAAGAUAUAAAAACUUGUUGGAACAAAAAACUCCAUAUUGGUUGUCGCCGUUGGAGGCGAUAAGUGUGAAGAAAGUCAAUAUGACAGCGGGUUGGGUGACAUAUGAGAAGUUAAUGUGUAAAAGUGUAGGAAAAUGGAAAAUGAGAUCAUUUGAAGAAGUUAAGGACUAUGUGAAUGACUGGCUGCAUUAUUUUCAAAUUAAUGAGAUGUUUAGAAAAGAUUUAAAUCAGAGGGGUUUUGCUGACAAAGAAUCAAAAUUUCAGACAGAAAUAUUGAACAAUGAUUAUAAGAAUUUAGCAAAAAUGUAUAAGAUAUUACUGGAAUGGUGUACGAAGGAUGAGGAGGUAAAAUCAGUUAUGAUCGACUGGGCCAAAGAGAUAGGGCAUAAUAUUCAAAUGGAGGAUUGGGAAAGACUUUGGAAAGAUGGUUUAAGAUUCACUGCAUGCACAGUUAUAAAAGAAAAUGUUAUGAAAAUGAUGUACCGAUGGUAUGUAACACCUGUGAAGUUAGCAAAAAUGUAUAAGAUAAGUAACAAAUGUUGGAAAUGUAAAGAAAAAGAAGGUACCUCUUUUCAUAUGUGGUGGGAAUGUAAGAAGGUAAAAUGCUUUUGGGAAAUGAUUUAUAAUGAAUUGAAGAAAAUGUUGAAAUAUACAUUUGUUAAGAAACCAGAAGCAUUUUUACUAGGCAUUACAGGUAAUGAGAUAAAUAAGAAAGAAAAGAAGUUAUUUUUAUAUGCAGUGACAGCAGCAAGAAUAUUGAUGGCCCAGAAAUGGAAACAGGAGGAAUUACCUACGAUAGAAGAAUGGAGAACUAAAAUGAUGGAUUAUGCAGAACUGGACAGAAUGACAGGAAGGAUCCGGAAUCGACGAGAUCGAAGAUUUACAGAAGAUUUAUCCAAUAUUUGCAAAAGAAAGUUUAUCCAAUAUUUGCAAAAACUGAGUGAUAAUAAAAUUAUGUUUGUAAGCUUUAAGGAAGCUCUGUGAGGGGAAAGGGUUAAAAGGGCAGAAAUGUGUAAAAAGUAACAAUAGGAAGGAAUGGCAGACAAAUUGAGGGACGUCAAAAAAGAGAAGUAAGAUGUAAUUAAGAUGUAUGGAAUGUAUAAAUUUGUUUUUGUAUUUG
rnacentral:lncRNA from 1 species